rnacentral:RNase_P_RNA from 2 species
GGGUACCGGGUAAUACCCGGGAGGGGUGACCCUACGGAAAGUGCCACAGAAACAUACCGCCCUGAUUGAUAAAAUCGGGGUAAGGGUGAAAUGGUGAGGUAAGAGCUCACCAGCGGAUGGGAAACCAUCCGGCUGGGAAAACCCUACCUUGAGCAAGGCCAAAUAGGGGAACAUACGGGCGUCCGGACCGGUUCCCGGGUUGGUCGCUUGACCCCGCCGGCAACGCCGGGGCUAGAGAGAUGGUCACCGUCCCGAUUCAUAUCGGGAUACAGAACUCGGCUUACAGGUCUACUUAACCC